rnacentral:lncRNA from 1 species
UGGUUACCCGAGGAGGAUGGUCCAAGAGGAGGAGCAGUAUGGAGGAUGAGCGGAUGCAUGAAUCUACUGAGGAGACAUUGCUGUUGUUAAAUGCAAGCAGCAGGGAAUUAGACAAAUCUGGAAAAAAGGUUUUCAGAGUUCUUACCCAAGGCAAAUUGUCUCUUAUGUCAGAAGGCAAGGACGGCAGAAACCCAGCCUCAGCAGCUCCUUCCACCCACGUUGGCUGCUAGUCCUUGGUAGCACUCAUUAAGGAGAGAGAGCCAUCUUCAGACACUUCAGUCAGAGCUGCUGGUUUGUGCUGCAGGCACUCUCAACCAUCCAUACAUUAUUUAUGUGGCAAAAAAAAAAAAGAUGACUUCCUCCUCACAUGUAAAUAAUAAAAGAAACCGUAAAAUCAGUAUGUAUGCCUAA